rnacentral:rRNA from 1 species
GAUGAACGCUGGCGGCGUGCCUAAUACAUGCAAGUCGAGCGAACAGAUAAGGAGCUUGCUCCUUUGACGUUAGCGGCGGACGGGUGAGUAACACGUGGGUAACCUACCUAUAAGACUGGGAUAACUUCGGGAAACCGGAGCUAAUACCGGAUAACAUUUGGAACCGCAUGGUUCUAAAGUGAAAGAUGGUUUUGCUAUCACUUAUAGAUGGACCCGCGCCGUAUUAGCUAGUUGGUAAGGUAACGGCUUACCAAGGCAACGAUACGUAGCCGACCUGAGAGGGUGAUCGGCCACACUGGAACUGAGACACGGUCCAGACUCCUACGGGAGGCAGCAGUAGGGAAUCUUCCGCAAUGGGCGAAAGCCUGACGGAGCAACGCCGCGUGAGUGAUGAAGGGUUUCGGCUCGUAAAACUCUGUUAUUAGGGAAGAACAAACGUGUAAGUAACUGUGCACGUCUUGACGGUACCGAAUCAGAAAGCCACGGCUAACUACGU